GGUGGCAAUAGUAGUUUACGCAACAAAGUGCAGAAUGAUGAUUUUUACAGCACGAGUCGUACAUUUAUCCAACGAGGCUUGCCGAGUUGGAUAAUUACGAUGAGUGCUGUAAAAAUCGAGUUCUGCACCGAGUUGCGUACAACGUUUUUUGCAGCUUCAUAAAAUACCACUUGAGGAUAGUUUUUAACAAAACUGUUUCACACUGAUGUUCAUAGCCAUAAUUAAGGAAAUCUGACCGUAGCAGGUUAUACAGAACAGUUGUCACAAUUUUUCAAACCUUCGUCCAGAAAGCAUCAAUAAGUUGAUCAAAACUGAAAACAGUGCUGUAAUGGUUCAUUACGCAACGCAAAUCAGUGCUGUAAUGAACCAUUACAGCACUGUUAAUUUGGUGUGGGAAAGUAGGCCUUUUCCUGGCAGAUUUGCGUGAGGUAAAAUGGCCUAUUACGAUGAGAAGUUGCAAAAAGUAUCUAACAAAUCUGUCAAAGCAGAAUUACAGCAUGCUGGUCAAAGCAUUGACUGGCCUCUGCCGUCUUAGUUAUCACAUGGUGAAUAUUCAGCAAGCUGAUUCAUUUGCCUGUGAUAGCUGUGAACCCGAUUAUGGAACUUCGUAUCAUUUAAUAUGUGACUGUCCAGUUUUUGCACAACUGCGUUUCCGAGUACUCGGAAAACACUUAUUAAGGCGAAACUGAAAGCAUUUCCUCAUUUUUUGGUUUUUGAUUUAUCAUUAAAUAACGAAACAAUAUUUUCAAAAUCGGUUUUCGUACACAUGUAGAGUAUGGAUCAAGGUAUCUCCUGAAUAUUUUUGUGGUGGAAAAUGUUUUUCGUUUUUUCGGAAACCAUUUUUGAAUGAAAUUUUACAAAAAAAUGGUUUCGCUGUUUGAACCUAUAGUGGUACGCUUUGCGUUUUUACAGUGUCCUUUUGAGGACGCUAUGUGAACCCAUUGCGGUACGCUUUUGCGUGUAUGACGAUCCUAUUCCCUUACCUGUCCUAUCCUUUGUCCUAUCCUUUCUCCUUCCCUUCUCCGUCAGGUCAAUGAUGAAUAGGCUCGUGUUCAUGGCGAUGGCACAAAUUUCCCAAAUGGAGGAGAACGUGCCUCUGGAGCCGACCUACUGAUACCUGAUACCUGAAGGAACCGUGGAAGGCAUUUUAGUGGGAAUCCUGGUAAAGAUGCUUUACGAAGCAAUGCGUUGUGCAACAACUCCAGCUGAAGGCGCUAGCAUUUAAUGUCAAAUGCGACGAAAAACAACACGCGCGCCUCUGGUUGUCAAGGCCACACAUUUUUAGCAAAGUUGAAAUGAUCGUUUAAAGUGUGGUCGACGGGAAUUUUGCACAUAUUACGUCUGUUUGUCUGUGGUGUGACGUUUAUAUGCCUGUUUAUAAUGAUUGGAUUUUACGUAAAUGAUUGUCAAUUCCCGCGAUCUAAAUUUUCUUCAUUAAAUGCGUGCCAUCCCUUGAUGCUCAGUAGGAAUCCCCAGUAAUUUAAAACAACAAUGAUUAACACAGCGUAUCUCUUAUCGCAACGAUGAAGCUCAGUGUAAAGACUUUUCACUCGUCAGUCACUUGGAUUGUUUUAUUCGUACCUACGUUUGCACCAGUAUUCAACUAUAGUUUUACAAUGCACGUCAUACUUAUCGUUUCUACUGUACUACUGCUGCGAGUUGCAUCGUCUUCCGCUUUCGUCUGUCCCCAACUCCACUUGGCCAAUGAUUUUCAUCCGCACGAAACGGACAUCGCCAAAUACUACAGGUGUACGAUAGGAGUCGCUACGGAACAAACUUGUGAGAGGAAUACAAUUUUUAGCCGAAUGACGCGCAAAUGUACUGCGAUGUGGUCCGAUGACAAUGAAAGUGAUACGCCGAACUUCAACUCAGCGGAAAUUUACUGAUUUCCUCCGGAAUCCGUGUUGAGGAAAUUGAUCUGUCCAGUAUACCAUGUAAAAAAGGGUUGAAUUAGCCCUGGAUUCGAAACUUCUUCCAAUAAAAAUAAAAAUUAUUUUUAUAAUGUU